UACGGAGGGGGCUAGCGUUGUUCGGAAUUACUGGGCGUAAAGCGCACGUAGGCGGCUUUGUAAGUUAGAGGUGAAAGCCCAGGGCUCAACCCUGGAAAUUGCCUUUAAGACUGCAUCGCUUGAACAUCGGAGAGGUAAGUGGAAUUCCGAGUGUAGAGGUGAAAUUCGUAGAUAUUCGCAAGAACACCAGUGGCGAAGGCGGCUCACUGGCCCGGUACUGACGCUGAGGUGCGAAAGCGUGGGGAGCAAA
rnacentral:rRNA from 1 species